rnacentral:tRNA from 1 species
GGGGAGGUUCCCGAGCGGCCAAAGGGAACAGACUGUAAAUCUGUCGGCGACAGCCUUCGGAGGUUCGAAUCCUCCCCUCCCCA